UAUUCUUAUCGGUGGAUUAUUUGACACAUGGAAUUAUUGAUGAACGCAGCUAGUUGCAAUAAAUAGUGCAAAUUGCAGACACAUUAAGCAAUGAAAUUUCGAAUGCACAUUACGCUGUCGGGUUCAUAGCACUUCUCGGAAGGAAGAA
rnacentral:rRNA from 1 species